rnacentral:rRNA from 1 species
GCAGCUUGCUGGACUGUAACUGACGNUGAGGCACGAAAGCGUGGGGAUCAAACAGGAUUAGAUACCCUGGUAGNCCACGCCNUAAACGAUGANUGCUAGCUGUUAGCGAUAUACUGUUAGCGGCACAGAGAAAUCGUUAAGCAUUCCACCUGGGGAGUACGCCGGCAACGGUGAAACUCAAAGGAAUUGACGGGGGCCCGCACAAGCGGAGGAACAUGUGGUUUAAUUCGAUGAUACGCGAGGAACCUUACCUGGGCUUAAAUUGCAGUGGAAUAACGUGGAAACAUGUUAGCCUUCGGGCCGCUGUGAAGGUGCUGCAUGGUUGUCGUCAGCUCGUGCCGUGAGGUGUCGGCUUAAGUGCCAUAACGAGCGCAACCCUCAUCGAUAGUUACUAACAGGUUAAGCUGAGGACUCUAUCGAGACUGCCGACGUAAGUCGUGAGGAAGGUGGGGAUGACGUCAAAUCAGCACGGCCCUUACGUCCAGGGCUACACACGUGUUACAAUGGGGGGUACAAAGGGCAGCUACCUGGCGACAGGAUGCUAAUCUCUAAAACCUCUCUCAGUUCGGAUUGGAGUCUGCAACCCGACUCCAUGAAGCUGGAUUCGCUAGUAAUCGCGCAUCAGCCACGGCGCGGUGAAUACGUUCCCGGGCCUUGUACACACCGCCCGUCAAGCCAUGGGAGCCGGGGGGACCUGAAGUAUGCAACCGUAAGGAGCGUCCUAGGGUAAAACUGGUGACUGGGGCU